rnacentral:rRNA from 1 species
AAUCAACGCUGGCGGCGUGCCUCAGACAUGCAAGUCGAACGAUUAAACUUUCCUUCGGGAAAGAUAUAAAGUGGCGCACGGGUGAGUAACACGUAAGUAAUCUACCUUCGAGUGGGGAAUAACGUUCGGAACGAACGCUAAUACCGCAUAAUGCAGCGGCACCUAAUGGUGACAGUUGUUAAAGGAGCAAUUCGCUUGAAGAGGAGCUUGCGGCAGAUUAGCUAGUUGGAAGGUAACGGCUUACCAAGGCUACGAUCUGUAACCGGUCUAAGAGGACGGUCGGUCACACUGACACUGAAUAACGGGUCAGACUCCUACGGGAGGCAGCAGUC